AUGCACGCUGGCGGCGUGCCUAAUACCUGCCAGUCGAGCGAACAGACGAGGAGCUUGCUCCUCUGACGUUAGCGGCGGACGGGUGAGUAACACGUGGAUAACCUACCUAUAAGACUGGGAUAACUUCGGGAAACCGGAGCUAAUACCGGAUAAUAUAUUGAACCGCAUGGUUCAAUAGUGAAAGACGGUUUUGCUGUCACUUAUAGAUGGAUCCGCGCCGCAUUAGCUAGUUGGUAAGGUAACGGCUUACCAAGGCAACGAUGCGUAGCCGACCUGAGAGGGUGAUCGGCCACACUGGAACUGAGACACGGUCCAGACUCCUACGGGAGGCAGCAGUAGGGAAUCUUCCGCAAUGGGCGAAAGCCUGACGGAGCAACGCCGCGUGAGUGAUGAAGGUCUUCGGAUCGUAAAACGCUGUUAUUAGGGAAGAACAAAUGUGUAAGUAACGAUGCACGUCUUGACGGUACCUAAUCAGAAAGCCACGGCUAACUACGU
rnacentral:rRNA from 1 species